AGCGUACACGGUGGAUGCCCUGGCAGUCAGAGGCGAUGAAGGACGUGCUAAUCUGCGAUAAGCGUCGGUAAGGUGAUAUGAACCGUUAUAACCGGCGAUUUCCGAAUGGGGAAACCCAGUGUGUUUCGACACACUAUCAUUAACUGAAUCCAUAGGUUAAUGAGGCGAACCGGGGGAACUGAAACAUCUAAGUACCCCGAGGAAAAGAAAUCAACCGAGAUUCCCCCAGUAGCGGCGAGCGAACGGGGAGCAGCCCAGAGCCUGAAUCAGUAUGUGUGUUAGUGGAAGCGUCUGGAAAGGCGCGCGAUACAGGGUGACAGCCCCGUACACAAAAAUGCACAUGCUGUGAGCUCGAUGAGUAGGGCGGGACACGUGGUAUCCUGUCUGAAUAUGGGGGGACCAUCCUCCAAGGCUAAAUACUCCUGACUGACCGAUAGUGAACCAGUACCGUGAGGGAAAGGCGAAAAGAACCCCGGCGAGGGGAGUGAAAAAGAACCUGAAACCGUGUACGUACAAGCAGUGGGAGCACGCUUAGGCGUGUGACUGCGUACCUUUUGUAUAAUGGGUCAGCGACUUAUAUUCUGUAGCAAGGUUAACCGAAUAGGGGAGCCGAAGGGAAACCGAGUCUUAACUGGGCGUUAAGUUGCAGGGUAUAGACCCGAAACCCGGUGAUCUAGCCAUGGGCAGGUUGAAGGUUGGGUAACACUAACUGGAGGACCGAACCGACUAAUGUUGAAAAAUUAGCGGAUGACUUGUGGCUGGGGGUGAAAGGCCAAUCAAACCGGGAGAUAGCUGGUUCUCCCCGAAAGCUAUUUAGGUAGCGCCUCGUGAAUUCAUCUCCGGGGGUAGAGCACUGUUUCGGCAAGGGGGUCAUCCCGACUUACCAACCCGAUGCAAACUGCGAAUACCGGAGAAUGUUAUCACGGGAGACACACGGCGGGUGCUAACGUCCGUCGUGAAGAGGGAAACAACCCAGACCGCCAGCUAAGGUCCCAAAGUCAUGGUUAAGUGGGAAACGAUGUGGGAAGGCCCAGACAGCCAGGAUGUUGGCUUAGAAGCAGCCAUCAUUUAAAGAAAGCGUAAUAGCUCACUGGUCGAGUCGGCCUGCGCGGAAGAUGUAACGGGGCUAAACCAUGCACCGAAGCUGCGGCAGCGACGCUGAUGCGUUGUUGGGUAGGGGAGCGUUCUGUAAGCCUGCGAAGGUGUGCUGUGAGGCAUGCUGGAGGUAUCAGAAGUGCGAAUGCUGACAUAAGUAACGAUAAAGCGGGUGAAAAGCCCGCUCGCCGGAAGACCAAGGGUUCCUGUCCAACGUUAAUCGGGGCAGGGUGAGUCGACCCCUAAGGCGAGGCCGAAAGGCGUAGUCGAUGGGAAACAGGUUAAUAUUCCUGUACUUGGUGUUACUGCGAAGGGGGGACGGAGAAGGCUAUGUUGGCCGGGCGACGGUUGUCCCGGUUUAAGCGUGUAGGCUGGUUUUCCAGGCAAAUCCGGAAAAUCAAGGCUGAGGCGUGAUGACGAGGCACUACGGUGCUGAAGCAACAAAUGCCCUGCUUCCAGGAAAAGCCUCUAAGCAUCAGGUAACAUCAAAUCGUACCCCAAACCGACACAGGUGGUCAGGUAGAGAAUACCAAGGCGCUUGAGAGAACUCGGGUGAAGGAACUAGGCAAAAUGGUGCCGUAACUUCGGGAGAAGGCACGCUGAUAUGUAGGUGAAGUCCCUCGCGGAUGGAGCUGAAAUCAGUCGAAGAUACCAGCUGGCUGCAACUGUUUAUUAAAAACACAGCACUGUGCAAACACGAAAGUGGACGUAUACGGUGUGACGCCUGCCCGGUGCCGGAAGGUUAAUUGAUGGGGUUAGCCGCAAGGCGAAGCUCUUGAUCGAAGCCCCGGUAAACGGCGGCCGUAACUAUAACGGUCCUAAGGUAGCGAAAUUCCUUGUCGGGUAAGUUCCGACCUGCACGAAUGGCGUAAUGAUGGCCAGGCUGUCUCCACCCGAGACUCAGUGAAAUUGAACUCGCUGUGAAGAUGCAGUGUACCCGCGGCAAGACGGAAAGACCCCGUGAACCUUUACUAUAGCUUGACACUGAACAUUGAGCCUUGAUGUGUAGGAUAGGUGGGAGGCUUAGAAGUGUGGACGCCAGUCUGCAUGGAGCCGACCUUGAAAUACCACCCUUUAAUGUUUGAUGUUCUAACGUUGACCCGUAAUCCGGGUUGCGGACAGUGUCUGGUGGGUAGUUUGACUGGGGCGGUCUCCUCCUAAAGAGUAACGGAGGAGCACGAAGGUUGGCUAAUCCUGGUCGGACAUCAGGAGGUUAGUGCAAUGGCAUAAGCCAGCUUGACUGCGAGCGUGACGGCGCGAGCAGGUGCGAAAGCAGGUCAUAGUGAUCCGGUGGUUCUGAAUGGAAGGGCCAUCGCUCAACGGAUAAAAGGUACUCCGGGGAUAACAGGCUGAUACCGCCCAAGAGUUCAUAUCGACGGCGGUGUUUGGCACCUCGAUGUCGGCUCAUCACAUCCUGGGGCUGAAGUAGGUCCCAAGGGUAUGGCUGUUCGCCAUUUAAAGUGGUACGCGAGCUGGGUUUAGAACGUCGUGAGACAGUUCGGUCCCUAUCUGCCGUGGGCGCUGGAGAACUGAGGGGGGCUGCUCCUAGUACGAGAGGACCGGAGUGGACGCAUCACUGGUGUUCGGGUUGUCAUGCCAAUGGCACUGCCCGGUAGCUAAAUGCGGAAGAGAUAAGUGCUGAAAGCAUCUAAGCACGAAACUUGC
rnacentral:rRNA from 1 species